rnacentral:rRNA from 1 species
UACGUAGGGACCAAGCGUUGUUCGAAUUUACUGGGCGUAAAGGGCGCGUAGGCGGCGCGGUAAGUCACUUGUGAAAUCUCUGAGCUUAACUCAGAACGGCCAAGUGAUACUGCAGUGCUAGAGUGUGGAAGGGGCAAUCGGAAUUCUUGGUGUAGCGGUGAAAUGCGUAGAUAUCAAGAGGAACACCUGAGGUGAAGACGGGUUGCUGGGCCAACACUGACGCUGAUGCGCGAAAGCGAGGGGAGCAAACGGG